CGAGCGAACGGACGAGAAGCUUGCUUCUCUGAUGUUAGCGGCGGACGGGUGAGUAACACGUGGAUAACCUACCUAUAAGACUGGGAUAACUUCGGGAAACCGGAGCUAAUACCGGAUAAUAUUUUGAACCGCAUGGUUCAAAAGUGAAAGACGGUCUUGCUGUCACUUAUAGAUGGAUCCGCGCUGCAUUAGCUAGUUGGUAAGGUAACGGCUUACCAAGGCAACGAUGCAUAGCCGACCUGAGAGGGUGAUCGGCCACACUGGAACUGAGACACGGUCCAGACUCCUACGGGAGGCAGCAGUAGGGAAUCUUCCGCAAUGGGCGAAAGCCUGACGGAGCAACGCCGCGUGAGUGAUGAAGGUCUUCGGAUCGUAAAACUCUGUUAUUAGGGAAGAACAUAUGUGUAAGUAACUGUGCACAUCUUGACGGUACCUAAUCAGAAAGCCACGGCUAACUACGUGCCAGCAGCCGCGGUAAUACGUAGGUGGCAAGCGUUAUCCGGAAUUAUUGGGCGUAAAGCGCGCGUAGGCGGUUUUUUAAGUCUGAUGUGAAAGCCCACGGCUCAACCGUGGAGGGUCAUUGGAAACUGGAAAACUUGAGUGCAGAAGAGGAAAGUGGAAUUCCAUGUGUAGCGGUGAAAUGCGCAGAGAUAUGGAGGAACACCAGUGGCGAAGGCGA
rnacentral:rRNA from 1 species